ensembl:lncRNA MIR99AHG mir-99a-let-7c cluster host gene
AGUGAGCUUACUUCUCUCCACCCACUUCUUACCAAGAACUCCUUAACUUGAGGGUGAACAACUUAAAGCUUGAUCCUACAGUUACCUGAAAAGUGAUUUGAGUAUUCAUUGAACUGAAAGAACAAAUCGCCUACUUCAGGCGGUGGCAAGCGUAUGGAAAUUAUAUUAGAACUUCAGCAAAGUGCACAGCUGCAUAAUAGAGAAGCCGGCACUCAGAUUGACAGGCAAAUAAGCCAGCUUGUGGAAGGGGCCUCUGGGUGGCAGCUCUGGGCUUUUGGGUGUUGGACAACCAUAGGCAAAACUGAAAUGGAACAGGGGCAGAAAAUAGCACACUUUUACUCUACGCAACUGUUGCUUUUUCAUGGAGGAGAAGGCACUUGAGAAGAGCCUGUUGAAGUCUCAUCUGCUGGAGAAAAUUUACUCCAAGAAAAUAGGAUGAAAGUGUCAAAGACAAUAGUUACAAGCCUUGGUGGUGCAAUUGAUUAUGAUCUUGUAAUGGUAUAAUUCUGAAACGAUGACACAGAUAGUGUCUUUAUAUGAUGGAGCUGGUCCCUAGAAGCAGAAGGCACAGUUUUCAAGUUCAGAAAUUUCUAAUUAAUAUCAUGUAUAUGGUGAAUUACAUAUAUAUGUAAUAAUAUGUAAUAUAAGGUUCUGUAAUAUAUGUAAGGAGUUUUAUUUUAUGAUAUAUACCAUAAAAUGUUCCUUAUGUCCUAAGUGUAUGACAAAGAAUAAAACACUUCAUAUCAUA